CGCGUAGGCGGCUUUAUAAGUCAGAUGUGAAAGCCCGGGGCUUAACCCCGGAAGUGCAUAUGAAACUAUAGGGCUUGAGUAUGGGAGAGGGAGGUGGAAUUCCUGGUGUAGAGGUGAAAUUCGUAGAUAUCAGGAGGAACACCGGUGGCGAAGGCGACUUCCUGGACCAAUACUGACGCUGAGGCGCGAAGGCGUGGGGAGCAAACA
rnacentral:rRNA from 1 species